rnacentral:rRNA from 1 species
UACAGAGGGUGCGAGCGUUGUUCGGAAUUAUUGGGCGUAAAGGGCGCGUAGGCGGUGCGGUAAGUCACCUGUGAAAUCUCCCGGCUCAACUGGGAGGGUGCGCCGAAUACUGAGGGACUCGAGUGCGGGAGAGGAGAGUGGAAUUCCUGGUGUAGCGGUGAAAUGCGUAGAUAUCAGGAGGAACACCGGCGGUGUAGACGGCUCUCUGGA